rnacentral:rRNA from 1 species
CGAACUGUGCGAACGUUAUUCGGAAUCACUGGGCUUAAAGGGUGCGUAGGCGGUUAUCUAAGUCAGGUGUGAAAUCUCUCGGCUCAACCGGGAAACUGCGCUUGAAACUGGGUGACUGGAGUGAUGCAGGGGUGUGUGGAACUUCCGGUGGAGCGGUGAAAUGUGUAGAUAUCGGAAGGAACGCCAGCAGCGAAAGCGGCACACUGGGCAUUUUCUGACGCUGAGGCACGAAAGCUAGGGGAGUGAACGGGAUUAGAUACCCCGGUAAUCCUAGCCGUAAACACUGAGCACUGGAGGAGGGAGGUUUCGGCCUUCUUUCUCGUAGCGAAAGCGUUAAGUGCUCCGCCUGGGGAGUAUGGUCGCAAGGCUG